rnacentral:rRNA from 1 species
GACGAACGCUGGCGGCGUGCUUAACACAUGCAAGUCGAACGGAAAGGCCCUGCUUUUGUGGGGUGCUCGAGUGGCGAACGGGUGAGUAACACGUGAGUAACCUGACCUUGACUUUGGGAUAACUUCAGGAAACUGGGGCUAAUACCGGAUAGGAGCUCCUGCUGCAUGGUGGGGGUUGGAAAGUUUCGGCGGUCGGGGAUGGACUCGCGGCUUAUCAGCUUGUUGGUGGGGUAGUGGCUUACCAAGGCUUUGACGGGUAGCCGGCCUGAGAGGGUGACCGGCCACAUUGGGACUGAGAUACGGCCCAGACUCCUACGGGAGGCAGCAGUGGGGAAUAUUGCACAAUGGGCGGAAGCCUGAUGCAGCAACGCCGCGUGCGGGAUGACGGCCUUCGGGUUGUAAACCGCUUUCGCCUGUGACGAAGCGUGAGUGACGGUAAUGGGUAAAGAAGCACCGGCUAACUACGUG